AGGGCUGACUGGAUGGACAGGGAGAUGAAGUCCCAUAGAAUGAAGUUUCUGGGGAGGCCCAAGCCGAUUAGCAUUUAUUGAGAGUCUAGUAUUUACUGUCACUGAAGGGAAUGAUAGCAGAAACCUUGAAUGAGCUCGGAAGGUCCUGGGGACCAGAUUUCCAUCGAAAAGAAAGGGAAUGAGAUGGGGUCACUAUACGCCAGCGGGUGUGGAGCAGGCUGUUGGGGACCCUCUCUAGGGAAUACCAAAUGACGGCCGGACUAGUGCACAGUGCAGCAUCCUGCAAAGACUCUGAGCCCUUCUGCUCCGGGGGCAAGGAGACCAUUGGGAAUCUGGGUCCUCCAGUGGAUUGGCCUGGAAUGGCUAAUUAGAAGCUUGACCUUUCACAUGUCUGGGGAAUGUGAGUCUCCAGAACCCAACAAGAUUGGAACAAGGAAGCUCAUACCCUCAAUGCUGUUGGCAGCCACUCUGUGGCCAUGAGAUCCAGCUUUAAAAUGAUCCUUUGAGUAACAGAGCAAAGAGGCAGAAAGAUACUUGGGUUUUGAUGACUUCAAUGGAUAUUGGAUCAGUCAAUACCCUGAAAUCUGUCCUCUGGAUUCUAGAAGAUCGAACUCGGGUCCUUGCACUUGUGCAACCACUGAGCUAAAUCCCAGGCCCUUGCUGAUCUUAUAAAGGAGAGAAAUGUGGACACAGGAGAUCCAGAAGAUGUGGCAGGAUCCAAGGAAUGCCAAAGAUUGCCAGCAAAACAGCAGAAGUUAGGAAAAGGCCAUGGGACAGAUUCUCUUGCACAUCCUCAAAAGGAACCAACCCCACUAACACCUUGAUCUUGGACUUCUGGCCUCCUGACAUGUGAGAUGGCAAACUACUUAGUUUGUGGUACUCUGUUACAGUAGUCCAGCAAACUAAUACAGAUAAUGUAAGCAAAUACAGUCUGUGAAUCUGAUGACACUACCGAAAAUGUAUGAUUACUGCUUUAUUGUUUGUGAAGAUGUUGUUGAACCGGUUAGUGGAAAAUAAUCAC
rnacentral:lncRNA from 1 species